rnacentral:sRNA from 1 species
GUCCUCGAUCUGCUGCGGACAGAUAUAGUGAAUGUGGCUGUCCAUGCCGCCCGCGGUGAGGAUGCGCCCCUCGCCCGCGAUCACCUCGGUGCCCGGGCCGACGAUGAUGUCGACGCCCGGCUGGGUGUCGGGGUUGCCCGCCUUGCCGAUCUUGGCGAUGCGCCCGUCCUUGAGCCCCACGUCGGCCUUGUAGAUGCCGGUGUGGUCGACGAUCAGCGCGUUGGUCACCACGGUGUCGACCGCCCCUUCGGCGCGGGUGUAUUGCGACUGGCCCAUGCCGUCGCGGAU